GAAAGUCUCGGAUAUUCAAGUAAAAUGGACAACAGAAUUCGUUUUAUUUUUACGUGAAAGGACAGUUUAUUCUGUGGAGAAACCCUCAACAUUGAAAGACAUCACCAAAUACACACAUUAUACCAACUAUAAGGAAGAGCACCAGCAGAAAACUAGCGUUUAAGGAUCAUUUGAUUGUAAACGGCUUUCACAGGAUCUGGACGGUGUGAUCGGGAUAUGUGGGCAUUCUGAUGGAAACCUGUUUACCCGCCGAGGUUAAGGAUUGAAGUCGAGACUGCCGGGACAACGAUGCUGCUCCUGUCAGAUGUGACGGGUCUGGAGUAAUUGCAACGACAAGAAAUUCACUACAGACUUUAUUGAAGACUAGAGCGGAUAACAACUCUAUUAUUAUUUAAUUGUUUAUUUAUCUAUUUAUUACCACUGUAUGACUUUUAGAUCAUUCAAUUCUGUGUUUGUAUGAUUUGUGUAAAUCGUGUAUUUAUUUAAAGUAUCCUCCAGACCACCCAAGAAGGAUGGGCCCUGUUGAGUCUGGUUCCUCUCAAGGUUUCUUCCUGUAAUUUUCAGGGAGUUUUUCCUUGCCACAGUCGCCCUCGGCUUGCUCAACAGGGGUUUUUGUAUCUGUUGGUCCUGGAUUUUGUAAAGUUGCUUUGAGACAAUGUAUAUUGUAAAAAGCGCUAUAUAAAUAAAGUUGACUUGACUUGACUUGACAUACUAGGUAGUAAUACUAUCCAAUGGUUUGAUGGCCAUUUCUACACGAAGUGAGUGUGUUUUGACCCUUUGGGGCUUCCAUAGUUCAUGGACAACGUGCUUGACUCAGCUGUCCGGUAUUCUUUACCGUAACAGAAUAAGUUAAUAAAGUGUUCUGCUCCCGACAA